rnacentral:rRNA from 1 species
GAUGAACGCUGGCGGCGUGCCUAAUACAUGCAAGUCGAGCGAACAGACGAGGAGCUUGCUCCUCUGACGUUAGCGGCGGACGGGUGAGUAACACGUGGAUAACCUACCUAUAAGACUGGGAUAACUUCGGGAAACCGGAGCUAAUACCGGAUAAUAUAUUGAACCGCAUGGUUCAAUAGUGAAAGACGGUUUUGCUGUCACUUAUAGAUGGAUCCGCGCCGCAUUAGCUAGUUGGUAAGGUAACGGCUUACCAAGGCAACGAUGCGUAGCCGACCUGAGAGGCUGAUCGGCCACACUGGAACUGAGACACGGUCCAGACUCCUACGGGAGGCAGCAGUAGGGAAUCUUCCGCAAUGGGCGAAAGCCUGACGGAGCAACGCCGCGUGAGUGAUGAAGGUCUUCGGAUCGUAAAACUCUGUUAUUAGGGAAGAACAAAUGUGUAAGUAACUAUGCACGUCUUGACGGUAACUAAUCAGAAAGCCACGGCUAACUACGUG